AGUAUACCCGACUCCGCCCACUUCUCCCCCGAAGUAGACCUGACUCCGCCCACUUCUUCGCCGAAUUAGACCUGGCUCCGCCCACUUCUUCCCCGAAGUAGACCUGACUCCGCCCACUUCUUCCCCAAAGUAGACCUGACUCCGCCCACUUCUUCCCCAAAGUAGACCUUGUGAGCAUCAUAGAUUUGCAUGUUUCGCUCUCUGAUCGGAUUGUCUGAAUUCACUAGUUGAGUGUCAAUCACAGAAGAAAAAAAACAUUGAUGAAAAUACAUUUUGAGAAUAUGUGAAUCCCUCGUCCGAUUCCCUGACCCCUGCCAAAGACAUAGAAUGUGUAUAGGGCAAAGAUUAAAGCUUUGCCUGUUCCACUGAUAUGGAUUCAGCUAACAAAUAUGGAAACUCCAAUGUUCACACCAGUCUCAUACUUUUAAAUCCAUGACGGGAAGAGUGAACUUGCACACUUGGGAAAGGGUUGGGAAUCGGGACCUCAGUCUCAGGCACCUUAUUACCAGUUUGAUAUUUUGUUAUUGAUCCAAGUGGAUGAGGACAUGAUUGGGACAUAUGAAGAGAGACUGGAGGCUGCAGUAAUGUUGAGAUACCAGUAGGGGGAGCUCUAGUCUAGAACACUGGAACCUUCAGUAGCACUUUGAUGGAGAUGAUGAGGAGUGAGGGGUACAUUAUGCGAGGAAACACAUUCAGAAACCAUAUAGAACAGUCAACACUUGUUAUGGAUCUGUAUUUAAAGAAAAGACUACAUUGGAAAUGGGCUGCAUUUAGCCCCUUUAAAACAUGUAGGCCCAUCUCCUCAAAUGAAGAAAUGUAAAUAGCUAUGCAGUCUUUAGCAGUACAUCCAGUACAUCCCUUUCUGACAUGCUGUUGAUGCAUGUGGUUGUCUUAAAUCCCUGACUAGGCUACUUUCACAAUGUGUCAGUCACUAAAAUCACACUUCUUCUUUCUAUACACAGCUACGACGAUAAGUUGACUCACUGUACAAGAUCUUUCACUCUAAUGCAGGGUGGGAGAUGCAACAAUGGUCUUGAGAACAGCAGGAAGUGUGUUGGGGGUCUUUGUCUGGUCUGUAGCAGUGUUACUGGGUCAGGAUAGCAGGAGUGUGACGUACAUCACUCAGAGUAUCUGUACCUUGAAGGGGUCAACAGUGGAGAUGUCCUGCUCUUACACAUAUCCCAGUGGCUAUACAAUCACAACAACCUUCUGGUUCAC